rnacentral:rRNA from 1 species
AGCCCCAGUCAUAUCACCCUGCAGCCUAAGGUUACUCACUGAAGCUAAGCAGGGCUGAGCCUGGUUAGUAGGAGCAUGGGAGACCACAUGGGAAAACUAGGUUGCUGUUGGAA